rnacentral:rRNA from 1 species
GUUGCAGUUAAAGCUCGUAGUUGAAUUUCGGGGUCAGUAGUCUGGUCGUGCCACCGGUACGUACUGGACUCACUGAUUCCUCCUUCCUGAUGAGCUGUAAUGCCAUUAAUUUGGUGUUGCAGGGAAUCUGGACUGUUACUUUGAAAAAAUUAGAGUGUUUAAAGCAGGCUAACGCUUGAAUACAUUAGCAUGGAAUAAUGAAAUAGGACGUUCGAUCCUAUUUUGUUGGUUUCUAGGAUUGACGUAAUGAUUAAUAGGGAUAGUUGGGGGCAUUAGUAUUCAAUUGUCAGAGGUGAAAUUCUUGGAUUUAUUGAAGACUAACUACUGCGAAAGCAUUUGCCAAGGAUGUUUUCAUUAAUCAAGAACGAAAGUUAGGGGAUCGAAGACGAUCAGAUACCGUCGUAGUCUUAACCAUAAACUAUGCCGACUAGGGAUCGGAUGAUGUUAAUUUUUUAAUGACUCAUUCGGCGCCUUACGGGAAACCAAAGUGUUUGGGUUCCGGGGGGAGUAUGGUCGCAAGGCUGAAACUUAAAGGAAUUGACGGAAGGGCACCACCAGGGGUGGAGCCUGCGGCUUAAUUUGACUCAACACGGGGAAACUCACCAGGUCCAGACAUAGUAAGGAUUGACAGAUUGAGAGCUCUUUCUUGAUUCUAUGGGGUGGUGGUGCAUGGCCGUUCUUAGUUGGUGGAGUGAUUUGUCUGGUUAAUUCCGUUAACGAACGAGACCUUAACCUGCUAAAUAGCUAGGCCUAACAUUGUUAGGUCGUCAGCUUCUUAGAGGGACUAUCGGUGUUUACCCGAUGGGAGUUUGAGGCAUAACAGGUCUGUGAUGCCCUUAGAUGUCUGGGCGCACGCGCGCUACACUGAU